rnacentral:rRNA from 1 species
CGGAGGAUCCAAGCGUUAUCCGGAAUCAUUGGGUUUAAAGGGUCCGUAGGCGGUUUUAUAAGUCAGUGGUGAAAUCCGGCAGCUCAACUGUCGAACUGCCAUUGAUACUGUAGAACUUGAAUUACUGUGAAGUAACUAGAAUAUGUAGUGUAGCGGUGAAAUGCUUAGAUAUUACAUGGAAUACCAAUUGCGAAGGCAGGUUACUAACAUUAUAUUGACGCUGAUGGACGAAAGCGUGGGGAGCGAACAGG